rnacentral:lncRNA from 1 species
GUAACAUCCCACCUUCUAGCCUUUAGGGAAAGAGUUAGGAAGACAGCGAGUUCAACUCUCUAUCUGUGUUUCCAAUAUCCAUCUUUCGCAAAGGAAUGAUAGAUAGAUGAUGAUAGAUGAUAGAUAGAUAGAUAUAGAAUCACUGGCUUUUGACUCUAAUCAAAUAAUCCAAACAAUUCUAGAAUUUCUGAUUCUGUAUUACUUACUUGACCUGAGGGUUCCGAAGCGCUCACAGCAUCUAAGAAAUGAAAAAAGACAACUUCAUAUGGCCCAAUCUUUCUUUGUAUUUACACAGGCCUGUUCCACAUCAUGGCACCCUAUGUAAGACGAGUGGUUCUGAAAAUACAUCAUCAUGGAUCAUCAGCUAUAAUGAGAAGUAGAUUAACCCAGGGGCAUGCCAUCAAAUGAUCUGCCAAAGAGUCAAGAAGAGGCCCAGUGGGGACAAUUUUGGAGGUCAGCCCAGGCUGAAGUGGAUGGCCAAUUGACACCAAGCGGAACGAUGGACAACCAUGUUAAUAGAUCUCCUGAUUUUCCAAGAGAAGUUAGAAAUUUCUAUUUUUAUAUGAAAUCUCCUGUUUUUAAACGUUGGCAACUGAUUCAAAAUAAUUUUAAACACUUUGAAAGAUAAAUAAAAUGUGUCUGCAGGCAGCCCAGUUUGUGACCUCUUCUUCUAGAAGUCCCCUAGAGAAGACUUAGCAAUAAUUACUCUUCGGAGCCUCCCCAACUUUACCCCAUUCUCACCUCCACCCCUCCCUCAUUAACUCCCUCCCUAAUUAACUGUUCUUUGACCUCAGUUACUAAAGCAAUUUAUAUGUAUGUCUGUUAGAGUGCUCAAUACAUUCUGUG